rnacentral:rRNA from 1 species
AGCAGCCGCCGCGGGAAUACGAAGGGUGCAAGCGUUACUCGGAAUUACUGGGCGUAAAGCGUGCGUAGGUGGUGGUUUAAGUCCGUUGUGAAAGCCCUGGGCUCAACCUGGGAAUUGCAGUGGAUACUGGGUCACUAGAGUGUGGUAGAGGAUAGUGGAAUUUCCGGUGUAGCAGUGAAAUGCGUAGAGAUCGGAAGGAACAUCUGUGGCGAAGGCGACUAUCUGGGCCAACACUGACACUGAGGCACGAAAGCGUGGGGAGCAAACAGGAUUAGAUACCCCAGUAGUCCCUGUCUCUUAUAC